AAAAAUUCUCAAUAGCAAGAUUUAGUAGGCACACAGAAUCACAAAUGAAGUGCCAGCUCAGAAGGGAAAAAGACUGAACAGAAAAAGAAAAUGACGUUUCAGCCCCUGGGAGCUUUCUUCAGACUUCCUCAGUUGGCUCAGGGACUAAAACAGUUUUCUCUCUCUUCAUUCCUGCUCACUAGUAUCUGUUAAAAUUCACACCGGGUGGAAGCUUGGCACACAAAGUCUCAGCUCAGGAUGGAAACUAAAAGAAAAGGAAAGAAUUGA